rnacentral:rRNA from 1 species
GACGAACGCUGGCGGCGUGCUUAACACAUGCAAGUCGAACGGAAAGGCCCCUUUGGGGGUACUCGAGUGGCGAACGGGUGAGUAACACGUGAGUAACCUGCCCUUGACUUCGGGAUAACUUCAGGAAACUGGGGCUAAUACCGGAUAGGAAUCCUUGCUGCAUGGUGGGGGUUGGAAAGCUUCGGCGGUUUUGGAUGGACUCGCGGCUUAUCAGCUUGUUGGUGGGGUAGUGGCUUACCAAGGCUUUGACGGGUAGCCGGCCUGAGAGGGCGACCGGCCACAUUGGGACUGAGAUACGGCCCAGACUCCGACGGGAGGCAGCAGUGGGGAAUAUUGCACAAUGGGCGGAAGCCUGAUGCAGCAACGCCGCGGGCGGGAUGACGGCCUUCGGGUUGGAAACCGAUUUCAGCAGGGGCGAAGCUUGUGGUGACGGUACCUGCAGAAGAAGCACCGGCUAACUACGUG